UUGACCUCGGAUCAGGUAGGGAUACCCGCUGAACUUAAGCAUAUCAAUAAGCGGAGGAAAAGAAACCAACAGGGAUUGCUCUAGUAACGGCGAGUGAAGCAGCAAUAGCUCAAAUUUGAAAUCUGGCGUCUUCGGCGUCCGAGUUGUAAUUUGUAGAGGAUGCUUCUGGGCAGCCACCGACCUAAGUUCCUUGGAACAGGACGUCAUAGAGGGUGAGAAUCCCGUAUGCGGUCGGAAAGGCACCCUACACGUAGCUCCUUCGACGAGUCGAGUUGUUUGGGAAUGCAGCUCUAAAUGGGAGGUAAAUUUCUUCUAAAGCUAAAUAUUGGCCAGAGACCGAUAGCGCACAAGUAGAGUGAUCGAAAGAUGAAAAGCACUUUGGAAAGAGAGUUAAAAAGCACGUGAAAUUGUUGAAAGGGAAGGGAUUGCAACCAGACUUGCUCGCGGUGUUCCGCCGGUCUUCUGACCGGUUCACUCGCCGCGUUGCAGGCCAGCAUCGUCUGGUGCCGCUGGAUAAGACUGGAGGAAUGUAGCUCCCUCGGGAGUGUUAUAGCCUCUAGUGAUGCAGCGAGCGCCGGGCGAGGUCCGCGCUUCGGCUAGGAUGCUGGCGUA
rnacentral:rRNA from 1 species